UACGUAGGGGGCAAGCGUUGUCCGGAUUUACUGGGCGUAAAGAGCGUGUAGGCAGCCAAGCAGGUCCGUUGUGAAAACUGGAGGCUUAACCUCCAGACGUCGACGGAAACCGCGUGGCUAGAGUCCGGAAGAGGAGAGUGGAAUUCCUGGUGUAGCGGUGAAAUGCGCAGAUAUCAGGAAGAACACCAAUGGCGAAGGCAGCUCUCUGGGACGGUACUGACGCUGAGACGCGAAAGCGUGGGGAGCGAACAGG
rnacentral:rRNA from 1 species